rnacentral:sRNA from 2 species
UAAAAAGUUUUCAAGGGUUCCGUGGCUGUUUAGCAGCCGGUCUGCGACCGAGAGAAAACGCGCGGCAUUUCCGCGUACACGGGAGGGACAAAAGCCCGGGAGGA